UCUAUCUGGGUCUCUGCAUUUGUUUCUGAUUUGUAGAUGUAGUGUCAGCUUCUGUUCACCUAGGCCUCCUUUCCUCCAAAACCUACCAGCUCUCUCUCGUCCUAGCUUCUGGAGUGACUGACUGAACUAGCCAGUAUGUUGUGUUAUAAAAAUUGUUAGGCAGCUACAGAUAUCCAAGGUAUCCCAGAGGACAUCUAAAGCUGUGAAGAAGUGUUUGGGACACAGAACACACUUACAGAGGCCUGAGGAAUUUGGUCAAGAUGAUCCAAAGAGGACAGUGACCUAAUAAGAUGGUUAAUCAUCAUUGGACUGAUGAAAAAAGGCCAACUAACUAUUUAAAGAGAGACUUUAACAACAGAUAAAGAGAUGGACUUGUGGCUGUUGCUGUAGGAUUCCAAGUCCAGGUGACCAUUUUGAACCAAACAUUGAUGACAAUUGAAAACAUUCACAUGAUAUCUGUAGUUCAAUGAUGG